CACACAAUUAUGUAUUAUUCAUUCGAUCAAUAUCAUCGUGGACCAGCCAUCUUUUUUUCUUUGUUCCCUCCAUCAGUCUAUAGGUGUCCACGACGCAGUAAGCCACGUGCUUUCUACAAAGCGGAGUUGGUGCAUAGAAUAUCAUUCGAUUCGUUAAGAUAAAAGCUGCAAGUUAUUUUUAUAUUAUUAUAUAAUGAUCACGAUACAGGAUUUAUCUAACGAAAUUAUAUUAAGUAUUCUGGAAAACGAAAGUAUUAGCUUGAGGGACGUUGAGAAUUUUAGUUUCACGUGCAAGGGAUUUGAGUGGAUAUCCCAUUGUGAACCUCUCUGGAAGAAAAAAUAUGCUAAGAGAUGGCCUACUGUACAGCUGUUGUGUAAAGACAAAAUGGGCAUUGAAUUUAAUGACUUGAAUGUUGAAGAUUUUAGAGAGGGUCUGAAAUGUGCGGAAAACUUGUGGCUUUUUGUGCCUCGUAUGUCUCAGAUGUUGUAUUACCGUAAUCUACAGUGCGACUACAUUAAUAUACAAUCUUUUGAUCUGCAUGCAAAAAGCACCCUUUAAAUUUGUUGAUUUUACAUGCUGAACUUAUUAGAAAUAUAUAUCAACAAGAUCCAUGCCAAUGCAAUUUAACAGAAAGAUAUUACAGCAAAAUGAUAUUUCACUUUCUGUAUCAAAACAUUUUUGAUUCUUUACUUUGGAAAACAAUUAUGGAAAGACCUAUUCAUAUGCAGCGUUUGGAGGAUUUAAUUGUCGUAUUAUUACAAUAUUGUCAUCCCAAUGAGGGUAUUACUAUGUUGUAUAUAGAUAAAUUCAUAGACAAUAUUGUGCAAGACGUAUUAAAGUUCUUGAAAGAUAAUUAUCGUCCGCAUCCAAUAUUGUCCAUAUUAUCUGAACAAUUAUCGUUUGGGAGAAAUAAUCGUAUUAAUGAGAAUUUUUGGUGCGUAAAAUACGCAAAAAUAAUAAAAUAUGUACUCGACAAAAUUAUUUUAAGUUUUGAUUCUUAUGAACCAUGGAUGAAACCGAAUCAAAUAAGUAUGAAUCCUAUUUUCAAAAUGUCGACUAAAGAAGACACAUUAUAUUAUAGACAAGCGUUGUGGUAUGCAAUAUAUAUCUGCGUUGCAAACAGAUUGGGUUUACAUGUUGUGACAAAAAAACACGGUAUAGACAAUAAUUAUGCUCUAAAUACACAUUUGGUUUGGCAAUCCGGAAAGUGUACAGAAAAUAGAGAAUGUUUCACGUUUAAAUGGACAGAUAAUAAAGAUAAUCCAAAGAUUUCUGACAUAAGUAAAUGCCGAGGAGUAAGUAGGUAGUAAUUAAUAUUUAUAUAAAAUAUUGGUAGUUUUCGACUUUCACUUUCUAAAGUUUAUAACUCCAAAACAGGAUGGACGUUUACUUCAACGAUGUUUGAUAUAAAAGACAUAAUCAGCGAUGCUUCCUCUGUAAAAUAUUUUAAGAACAUUGAAAUCAAUAAGCUUAAUUCUAAUAAAUCAAGAAGAACAUAUAAUAUAUAACAUUAGUUUUAGAUUAUAAAGUUUUGAAAAUAUAUCUAAAUGUAUUUUUUCUUACACACAUUUAUAAUUUGAAUAUAAUCAUUACAUAUGAUAUCAUAAGUGAUUUUGAUUCAAAAUUUAAUAACAAUUUUUCUUAAAGCUUUGGUCGUCAAAAUCGGUUGAAGUUGACAGUAGCAUUCGGGAUAUAUAUGUUUUGUGGAAACGUGUCUGCUUUCCCUUUGACGAUCUCUGUUAUAGAGCAGCAUCAAUAAAUUUGUAUAAUGAGAAAAUAUGUACUCCACAUGAUACGUUUCGGGAAAAAAGAUCGCCUAAUUUAAAAUAUGCGAUUGGAUUGAUAGUUACACAUAAGCAUAAAAUGAAAGAUAAUACACGAAAAGAUGUUGCUGGGGUCAUUAUUGGGUGGCACAACGAAUGCCACUUUGAACGUUUUACGUAUAAGAGUACAUGUUAUAAUUUUCGAAUUCAUUUGAAAAUAUGCUUUGGAUACCGAAAAAUAAGAUUGUUAAUUGGAAAACGCAACCGCACUACGUUUUGUUAAUCGAGAAUGAUCUGUGUUACGUUCCACAAUAUGUUAUAACAUCGGUAUGCAAAAAAUGGAUAAAUAAUCUAGAAGUUGGAAAAUAUUUCUGUAAAUUUGAAGAUACUCAUUAUGUGCCAAAUAACAUGCUAGGACAGCAUUAUCCAGACGAUGCCGCAGUCGUUCGCGACAUAUUAUUGAAUAAUCUAAAAUUAUAAUAUUGUGAAUGGUGUAGAAGUAUGUGUGUCUGCUCUUUUAUAGUCCGGAUUGAAUUUCAAAAGAAAAUGAUAACUUAAUACUAAGAAGAGCAGAUAAAGAACAUUGGAAAAAGACCUAAUAAAAAAGCAAUCUGACUUACAAGAAACUUCCAAGAAAAUCGUGAAGGAACCAUGUCCACGGAUUAUUGUCACCAAGGUGUCACAUAUAAUAGUCGGAUUUUUAUCGAUGGAACGACGUUGCUGGACGUGUGAUGUUUUAUUUCUUAUCAUCUUGUCGCGGACGUAAAUUGCUGCUUGUCCUUGAUAGUCCGUGAUAGACAAAUUUAUCUAUUCCUUUAUGGUCCUGAUCAAUUGGAUAAUGGAGACUUGGAAAUUUGCUUCGUAUACACAUUGGAUGAAUUUUCUGUGUAACAUAGAAUCCUGAAGAUGAUGAUUCUAGAUGUCAUUUAUCUCAGCACGAAGCCAUCUGAUGAGUGAGAGCCACAUUAGUUCUUGACAAAAUUAUUCGCUGGAAGAAAAUAAAAUUAUGUCCACUUCUUCAAAAAAAUGAGUCGUGCUUGGAUUUUAUAUCUUCAGCCACUUGUCCUAUUUGAUUUUCUUCGUAAACGCCAUGUUGCUUGAGCUAGCCAUUUUGUACUCGUAUGAUUUAAGUAGCAAACAUCACCAUGACAGCAACAGAUGUUCUCCGGCAUCAAUUCUUCUUCUUCUUAUUUUUUCGUUGACAAGGAACAGAUGAAUAGUUAAGAACUAGAAAUACUUGACAAAGAAUCACAAUAUAACAAAAGAUUAAUUUCAGAGAUGAUAUUCAUAAAAAGGCAAAAUAACAGUCUUAAUUUAAAAACAGAUAUUGAUGGCUUGCCAGUAAUUUAUGACGAUAUAAUACAUAGACUACCUAAGAUCAUGAUAUAAAGACAAGGGUAUGCUUAUGCACAUAGUAACGCCAGCUAACCAAUGAGAAUUGCAGCCUGACUACGUCAUCAUUAGGCGUCAAAUUCGAAGCGCUUAUUCUUAUGUUUGCCGAGUACACGUAGAGAAACUGAAAAAUAAUCACUGCCACUGGUGAUAAUCAGUAAAAUAAAAUAUAUAAUACAUAAUUAAGUAAACAAUAAACAAUGUAAUUACGGAAUAAACGAAAGGCUCACAAGAGUAAUGAAUAAAAAGUGUCACAUCAGUUUAUAACAACCACGCGCUUGUAUGCCUGCAGCAGUCAUAUUUUAUCGGCCGAAGUGAUCCGAACGUAGCCGAGGCUGUACGAAUGUGACGUUGGCAGGCUGCUGCGCAAGAAUGUCUUAAAUUCGUCCACCGAAUGAGCAUACCCUUGUCUUUAUAUCAUGCCUAAAAUGUGAAAGUUAAAAAACAAAAACUAACUAUUUUCUCCGUUGUGUGGUCGUCUCUCUGAAAGAUAAAAAUCAUUCGUUAUUGUAACCUCGAGCAAUCAACAUCUGAAAGCCUUCACGUCACAAUAUAAUAUCUUACUCGAUUAUGUAUUAUUCAUUCGAUCGAUUAAUAUCGGGUGUAAUAUAUAUGAUAGAUAUCCUUGAUGCAAGUGAGAGUGACACUAAUUGUAACAUGACUCAUUGAUUCCUUUAAUAAGUUUUGAUGACUUUUCAUGUCACAAUUAAAUUUUCUUUUUAUAAGAAUAACGACAAUUUAUGUAUAGAGUAAAUUCAUAUAACAUUAUUAGGGUUUUUUUAAUAAAGGAGUAAAUUCAUAUAAUAUUAUUAAGGUUUUUUUAAUAAAGAAUUGUCAAGAAUUUUCUAAUGUUUUCAACAGUCAAUAAUUAGUACUUUGGUAUUUGUUGAUUGAGAAGGCUUUACUUUACUGCAUUCUUUUUCAAUUAUAAGUUAUAUUUGAUAAAGUAGAAUUCAAAAGAUAAACGACAAUUGAGAAUUAGAAUUCUGUUGUCAUAAUUGUUUAAUUUUAAAACAAGAAAAUAGAGUAAAUUCAAGAGAACAAUGUGAAAAAAACUACGAUGUAAUAAAAUCUUGUAGUAAAUAUGCAUCUCACACUAGUUUUUAUAUAAAUAACAUAAUAAAUUAUAUACAAGAUAAGCCGCUUAUCUCUUCCUUGGAAAUAAAAAACGUCAGUUUAAUAGAAAUAUAUUUAGAUUUUUUUACAGAAUAUAAAAACAAUUUUAAAAUAAUAUUAAAAAAAAAAUCAAUAAAGUUGUAAUAGAAUUAACUUAGCAUACGCAGCAAAAGUUGCUAUUAUUUUAUGUCGUAGAUAAUUCAUAGUCUAUAGUGUAAGACAAACAAUAGAACAAGACCUGAAAAUUGUACAAAAGAAAAUACAUUUUUUUCCCCACUAACAAAAAACGUAGGCCAAAAUCUCAGGAUAGAGUCCAAGAAAAAUAGUUGUGAAAACUCCAAAAAUAAUAAUAAAUUGCAGUUCUUUAUCAAUUCCUCAAUUUAACGUACACGCAACUUUGAGGAAUAGAGCUUUACAUAUU